rnacentral:lncRNA from 1 species
CAGGCACACAGCUACUUGCUCUCUCUCUCUCCCUCUCUCUGCCAACCUCAUACCAGACUUGGGGUCAUGAUAAACUAUAGGAACCUUGUGCACACCACUCAAAUCCAAGCGAAGUAGAGGUGUCUUUGACACCAAGAGGUGCCAUAAUGUCAUCUCUCUAAUGCCCUCCUUCAUAAGGAUGAAUUGGGCAGAAAAUGCAGUGUUUCCAUCCACCAAAGGCCCAGACAAGAAACAGAAGCAGAGCAGUGGUUCUCUUCCACUUUUGCUUCCCCCAGCAUCAAGAAGGCAGCUGGAGCUGGAGUUAACUAACGACUCAGUUGAACAAGGUCUCCAGAAUGGUUCCUUCAUUCACAUACUGGGCACCUCUUCUGAAUGGCUAGAACAGCUGGAGGCUGGGUGGGCAUGUGUCUCCAUGCAGCCUCUCCAUUUGGAUAGGUUGGGCUUCCUCUCACCGUGGUGGUCUCAGAAUAGUCCUACCUCUUAACUGGUAGGUGGCUUCUCCUAGAGAACACACAGCAAGAGACCAGGGCUGGGAACUGCAAGACUUCUGGUGAACUAGCCUGGAAGUCACACAGCAUCACUUCUACCACAUUCUGUUGCUCACACCCACAGGCACAGCCCAGAUGUAAGAGGAAGAAGGGGACAUAUAGGGAUAGGAAUACCAGAAAGUGUUCUUCAUCAGGGUUGUCUUUGGAAACUAGCUACCACAACAUGAUAUCCAAGUGCAUGAUGACCAAACUCAUCUUGUUGAGCUCUGCAUAAACUGGUUCAGGAGUACAACUCACAUGGCAAUUUGCACAUGACACGUGCUGCCUACUGGUCAUAUAGAUUGGAUUCAAGCAUUACCACAAACAGUUUGAGAACUCUAACCUCUUAAUCUUUGCUUCUGCCCAAUCUGUCCUUAUUUCUACAACUACACUCAACAUUGGUUUUCAACCUCAGUAUAUUCCUUUGAUUCUCACAUAUUAAAUUAACUUUUUCUUCAGCAACUCCCUGGAAGCAGUUUUUUUUUUCUAGCCACAUACAUUUGAUCUCAAG